CUACGGGAGGCUCCAGUGAGGAAUAUUGCACAAUGGGGGAAACCCUGAUGCAGCAACGCCGCGUGGAGGAUGACGCAUUUCGGUGUGUAAACUCCUUUUAUCAGAGAAGAAAAUGACGGUAUCUGAUGAAUAAGCUCCGGCUGAACUCCGUGCCAGCAGCCGCGGUAAUACGGAGGGAGCAAGCGUUAUUCGGAAUCACUGGGCGUAAAGGACGCGUAGGCGGGUUUUUAAGUCAGGUGUGAAAUCCUAUGGCUCAACCAUAGAACUGCACUUGAAACUGGGGACCUAGAGUAUGGAAGGGGCAGGUGGAAUUAGUGGUGUAGGGGUAAUAUCCGUAGAUAUCACUAGGAAUACCGAAAGCGAAGGCGACCUGCUGGGACAUUACUGACGCUGAGGCGUGAAAGCGUGGGGAGCAAACAGGAUUAGAUACCCCGGUAGUC
rnacentral:rRNA from 1 species